rnacentral:lncRNA from 1 species
GUCAGAGGUUAUAUCUUAAUUCGAUCCGAUCAUGUUUUGAGUGCUGUGUGUUGUCGUGUGUCUCUCGUCGCUUUGUGUGUGUGUGUGUGUGUGUGUGUGCGACAUACAGAUCUGGAUGGUGUUGUUUGUAGAUAUCCUGUGUGGUUGUCUCUAGCGGUUUCUGGAAAAUGCUGAUACUGUUUGCAAAACUCUGUGUGUGUGUGUGUGUGUGUGUGUGUCUCUAGGGUUUCUGGGAAAUGGCUUGAUACUGUUGCAAAUAUGUGUGUUGGGUUUUAUGCGUGUGUGAUGUGCUGUCUUAGGGUUCUGG